GACGAACGCUGGCGGCGUGCUUAACACAUGCGAGUCGAACGCUGAAGCUCAGCUUUUGUUGGGUGGAUGAGUGGCGAACGGGUGAGUAACACGUGAGUAACCUGCCCCCUUCUUUGGGAUAACGCCCGGAAACGGGUGCUAAUACUGGAUAUUCACUGGUCUUCGCAUGGGGGUUGGUGGAAAGGGUUUUUCUGGCGGGGGAUGGGCUCGCGGCCUAUCAGCUUGUUGGUGGGGUGAUGGCCUACCAAUGCUUUGACGGGUAGCCGGCCUGAGAGGGUGACCGGUCACAGUGGGACUGAGAUACGGCCCAGACUCCGACGGGAGGCAGAAGUGGGGAAUAUGGCACAAUGGGCGCAAGCCUGAUGCAGCGACGCCGCGUGAGGGAUGGAGGCCGUCGGGUUGUGAAACUCUUUCGCUCAUGGUCAAGCCGCAACAAUGGUUGUGGUGAGGGUAGUGGGUAAAGAAGCGCCGGCUAACUACGUG
rnacentral:rRNA from 1 species